rfam:Punica granatum cultivar Dabenzi scaffold298, whole genome shotgun sequence.
AGGCCAUGAUAAGGACAUCUAACAAGUAGAUCCUUGAACCUCUCCCAGGCUUCAGCAAUUGACUCGAACUUGAAUUGUUGAAAGGUCAUAAUGUCGUUUCUCAUCUU